AGCCUCUGCCAGGCUCCUGGGGGAGUCAGGACUCUGCUGGUCUAGGCUCAGGCAGGAGGGCAGUUACUGGAAUGUUCGGGGCCAGGGAGGUGGCCAGCAGUCAGCAGGGGCAGGCCACGAGGGACAGAGUGUAUACCGCCUGCCCUGGGCCCUGAAGACGUGCAGACACCUGCUGUGCGUGGAGGAUAGAGGAGCCGGUGAGGAUGGGAGGGUCACCCCCUGCCCCAACGCCUGCCAGGAGAGAGCCUGGACUCCAGAAAGAAACAUGGAACUUGCACCCGGCGCCUGAAGGUCCUGCUGGGUCAUUUCUUGGAUUCUCAGUGCCUCAGCCUUGUCCUUCUCCUCCUGUGUGAGGCCCAGGGAGAGAGUGGGAGCAGACAGCUGGGAGGGAGAGAGUCCAAGGAACCAGGAUGUACCAGAUCAUGCCCUUCAGAUGCCUGGGUUCAAAGGUGAAUGACCUGCCGAAUGACGGGAGCAGA